rnacentral:tRNA from 1 species
GCCUCAAUGGUGGAAUGGUAGACACGAGGGUCUUAAACACCCUUGGCCAUUUGGCUGUGUGGGUUCAAGUCCCACUUGAGGUA